ACCUGGUUGGCUCAGUUGGUUAAGCGUCUGACUUCAGCCCAGGUCAUGAUCUCAUAGUGAGUUCAAGACCCACAUCAGGCU
rnacentral:tRNA from 1 species